rnacentral:rRNA from 1 species
UGUCAAGUCAGCAUGACCCUGAUGGCCUGGGCGACACACACGCUACAAUGGCCGGUACAGAGGGCAGCCAAGCCGUAAGGCGGAGCCAAUCCCACAAAGCCGGUCUCAGUACGGAUUGGGGGCUGCAACUCGCCCCCAUGAAGGCGGAGUUGCUAGUAACCGCCGGUCAACAUACGGCGGUGAAUACGUUCCCGGGGCUU